UCUCUAACUUCACCAGCCCCGGUGGCUCCACUCCAUACCUGAAAGUGAGGUUUGACAAAAACAUAUCAGUAAUCUUACGGAUAAAUCAGUACAGGUAAGAAUAGUGAUUAUCAGUCAGGACUACUUUUUGAAUCUCAGUGGAUACUUCUGCAGCUUCUAUCUGAGUCAACCAAAAGUAAACACAUGCUGCAGUUAAGAGUGAGUAGUUGAAACAGAGGUUAACGUCCAGCGUGAAAGUAAUAGGAACUGAUAAAAAAAUAUUUGAAAUGAAUGAAUGGUUUAAACUAAAUAGAUAAAAGUAUGUCAAAAUCAGUAAUGUUAAAAACAACAUUAAGUGUGAAAGAGAAGGAUGAAUAGAAUAGUCAUUGCAAAUUUGCAAUAAAAUGAAUUAAUAAUCUCUGUGUACAAUAAAUGCAUAAGGGUCAAUAUAUAAUUGAGGAACCUUUGAAGUCCACGGCAUAUAUCUUGCAUGCAUUUUUAUUCAAAGUAAAAAACAAAAAAUUAUGUUCAUUAUGAUCAUGCUUUUACGAAUUCCGUAAUUAUUUAGUAUGGAAACAAUCAUUUAUGAAUAUAAAAUGACUGGAUAUCACUAAAAUGUCAAAUAAAUAACCGUCCGAAUUUAACAGCAACCACCUUCUAAUUAGCUAAACAAUAAUAACAUGAGCUUAUCUUUUUAUCAAGUUGAGAUAAUCAUGACAUGUUUCUUUUUUGGCAAUAUAUCAAAUUUUAUAUUAAAAAUAACAAAUUGUAUCUCUGUCUGAGAAAUCACUGUCAACUAAGUUACCCAUUACAAAAACACCUCUCAAGGAAGUGUGUUAAUUCCAGAUCACAUGACCUGCUCCACAUGAUGUCAUUUCCUCCUGAAGAAAACACUGGAAAAACUCCAAGGCUUUCUGAGAUAUUUAAUAUAAAGUAGUGUAUGAGUCAAGUGUAGACUGUGUUAAAUAACUUUCAAUUUCACUCAAUUGUAUAUAUAAUAUUUAGAAGAAUCUUUCUGUAAAAAUGCCAUGUGGUGUUUGGUUAUAGGCGGCCAUGUUGAUUUUAGGCCUGAAAACAGCAAAAAUGUCAACUAUGAUACUAAAAGUCCCACAAUUAUAUAUUGACCCAUAUAAAGUGCAUAAAUGGGUAGUAGGUAGUAGUAAAUAGUUAAAAAAAAAUCCAGUUAGUGGUAGAAGUGGGAAGGCACACGUAACCUAACUGACACAAACAAAAAUAUUUUAACAAUAUAAACUAUUAACAGAGUUUAAUAACAACAUCAAGUUCAAAGUGCUUUUCGUUGAUUACAUCUGCAGCCUGGUGGUUGGUGUUGGUGGAAGGUUUAAGCUGAUAAAUGCUGAUAGAAAAAAGGUUUGGAACCACUGGAGUUAAAAAAAACACUGCUUGAUGGUUUCAUUUUGGUUUUGUUUAACAUUUUACUUCAUUUACAAUUCAACUGAUAAAGAAAUAGCACAAAAGUUAUCUUGCAAAUGUGAUGCCACUCUGAUUUACUGUUCAGCAGGUGGACAGUUGUUCAUUUGUGGUUACCUGGCGGCAAUCCGACCCAGCUCCAUCAGGCACAGACACACCUCCCGAGGCUGCUUGUGGAGGACUUCACACAGCAACAUGUAGGACGAAGAAAACAAAGAGGACGAAGGGGUAGAAAAGAAAAAGUCACUCGUAUGAAAGAAAAGAUGUUUCCGGAGAUAAACGUUCUUGUCUUUGUCAAAAGAAAACGGGAGCUGAACGGAGAGGUCACGUUGUGGGAGGUUCUCUAUUGUGCAUCUCUACCUUUGAAGCUGAGCAGGAAUUCCUGUGGGUCUCUGGAUGUGCUGCUGAGGGCAUGAGGGCAUGAAAGCUUCAUCAGCAAGUCCUGCCUCCAUUUUUUUUAAGAUCACCUUGCCGUUGUUGGCGUGAAGCAUUUUCUCCUGAAGCAGCUGUGCCAGCUGACAGAGCAGAACACCGGUAUCCAACCUUUCCAUCAGACUGUCUGCUAGUCAGAAGAAAGAGCCAGCACCAAGCAGCAGCCAAGAGCCACAAGUCCAGAGUGGGAGAUGUUCAGAGGGAGCUGGUGCCACAUCUGGUCCAGGUGAUGGAAGGUCUUGAAGUUCUCUGACUGGCCUCGACUGAAGAUGGUCCUCUCACUGUAUUUAAGGUUCAGAUGCUCAGGAACAAACUCCACCAAUGAGCCAACAAGGAAGCUUUAGGUUUAUUAAAUGUUACUAUGAAGCAUGAAGACUAAACUCUCCACAAGGAUCCAAAAUAAGGUGGACUUCUACAUGAGAGCUUUAAUUAUUCUUUAUCUACUUCCUGAAAAGUUUGGUCAAUAAAAAAGACAAAAACUAAUAUUUUCAGCUGAACUAAAGACAGAUUUUGUGAUUUUUCUGCUCACAUGUUGUGUUGUUGUAAACUUACUCUUUCAAAUAAAUAGUCCCCUAACCCCCUGGAAACCAGUGUUUGUCCUGUUUUUGUGUCGCUCCUCGGUGACCCUACACAGCUGGGUUGUAAUGUUUUUUGAGCAACACACCAUACUAUGACAUUUUUACAGUGAAGGUUCUACUAUGGAACCAGUUUGACAUGUGUGAAAACUCAGAGAUUUCAGGUAUCAGAAGGUGGUUUUCAACUUUCUCUGUUUACUUUCUGCUUCAACUUUAAACUAAAUUUACUUCACUAAGCCAGCCCUCUGGACUUCCAGUAAGCUGUGUUUCUAUUGCCUGUCCAGGUGGCUGCUUGGUGUUAUCAGGAACACCUGAGCAGCUAAAUGUCUUCCUGCUUUAUGUCUGCAGUCAAACAUUUCCUCUGCUUCUCUUCACUGAACCGGGUUCAGCUCUGUUGCUUUAGUUUGUUUUUUCUAGGCGUUGGCUUGCAGCGUCCAGCAGUAAAAUCAUCUUUAAUGUGUUUCU